UCUGAGAGGUGAACCCUUGACAGUUCAAGCACCAGGAACCCAAACCCGAAGCUUCUGUUACGUUUCUGACCUAGUUGAUGGUCUCAUUCGACUUAUGGAGGGAGAUCACACUGGUCCGAUUAAUGUAGGGAACCCUGGUGAGUUUACAAUGAUGGAACUUGCUGAAACUGUAAAGGAGCUGAUCGACCCGGAUGUGGCUGUUACG
rnacentral:misc_RNA from 1 species